rnacentral:rRNA from 1 species
AGUGAACGCUGGCGGUAGGCCUAACACAUGCAAGUCGAACGGCAGCACAGAAAGAGCUUGCUCUUACGGGUGGCGAGUGGCGGACGGGUGAGGAAUACAUCGGAAUCUACUUUUUCGUGGGGGAUAACGUAGGGAAACUUACGCUAAUACCGCAUACGACCUACGGGUGAAAGCAGGGGAUCUUCGGACCUUGCGCGAUUGAAUGAGCCGAUGUCGGAUUAGCUAGUUGGCGGGGUAAAGGCCCACCAAGGCGACGAUCCGUAGCUGGUCUGAGAGGAUGAUCAGCCACACUGGAACUGAGACACGGUCCAGACUCCUACGGGAGGCAGCAGUGGGGAAUAUUGGACAAUGGGCGCAAGCCUGAUCCAGCCAUACCGCGUGGGCGAAGAAGGCCUUCGGGUUGUAAAGCCCUUUUGUUGGGAAAGAAAAGCAGCAGGUUAAUACCCCGCUGUUCUGACGGUACCCAAAGAAUAAGCACCGGCUAACUUCGUG